rnacentral:misc_RNA from 1 species
AUGAAGAACGCAGCGAAAUGCGAUAAGUAAUGUGAAUUGCAGAAUUCAGUGAAUCAUCGAAUCUUUGAACGCACAUUGCGCCCGCCAGUAUUCUGGCGGGCAUGCCUGUUCGAGCGUCAUUUCAACCAUCAAGCCCCCGGCUUGUGUUGGGGACCUGCGGCUGCCGCAGGCCCUGAAAUGCAGUGGCGGGCUCGCUGUCACUCCGAGCGUAGUAGUUACAUCUCGCUCUGGGCGUGCUGCGGGUUCCGGCCGUUAAAAGCCUUAUUUACCCAAGGUUGACCUCGGAUCAGGUAGGAAGACCCGCUGAACUUAAGCAUAUCAAUAAGCGGAGGA